GCAGCACAUGGACGGUUUUAUGGAAGAAAUAUCAGGGUUUGGAGCUGAUUUUAAAAUCUUGGAAAACUGCAGAACGUGGAUGGUUUUAUGGAAGAAAUACCAGGGUUUGAGGCUGAUUUUAAAAUCCUGGAAAACUGCAGCACCAAGAUGGUUUUAUUGAAGAAUUAUCAGGGCUUGAGGCUGGGGAUAAAAUCCUGGAAAACUGCAGAACGUGGAUGGUUUUAUUGAAGAAAUACCAGGGUUUGGGGUUGGCUAUAAAAUCCUGGAAAACUGCAGCACAUGGACGGUUUUAUGGAAGAAAUAUCAGGGUUUGGAGCUGAUUUAAAAAUCUUGGAAAACUGCAGAACGUGGAUGGUUUUAUUGGAAGAAAUACCAGGGUUUGGGGCUGGGCAGAAAAUCUUGGAAAACUGCAGCACGUGGAUGGUUUUAUGGAAGAAAUACCAGGGUUUGAGGCUGAUUUUAAAAUCCUGGAAUAUUGCAGCCCAUGGAUGGUUUUAUGGAAGAAUUAUCAGGGAUUGAGGCUGGGGAGAAAAUCCUGGAAAACUGCAGAACGUGGAUGGUUUUAUGGAAGAAUUAUCAGGGUUUGGAGCUGAUUUUAAAAUCCUGGAAUAUUGCAGCCCAUGGAUAGUUUUAUGGAAGAAAGAUCAGGGUUUGAGGCUGGGGGGAAAAUCCUGGAAAACUGCAGCCCAUGGAUGGUUUUAUGGAAGAAUUAUCAGUGUCUGAAGCUGAUUUAAAAAUCUGGGAAAACUGCAGAACGUGGAUGGUUUUAUGGAAGAAAUAUCAGGGUUUGGGGUUGGCUAUAAAAUCCUGGAAAACUGCAGCCCAUGGAUGGUUUUAUGGAAGAAUUAUCAGGGUCUGAAGCUGAUUUAAAAAUCCUGGAAAACUGCAGAACGUGGAUGGUUUUAUUGAAGAAAUAUCAGGGUUUGAGGCUGAUUUAAAAAUCUUGGAAUAUUGCAGCACCAAGAUGGUUUUAUUGAAUAAUUAUCAGGGCUUGAGGCUGAUGUAAAAAUCUUGGAAAAUCUCAGCACCAGGAUGGUUUUAUGAAAGAAUUAUCAGGGUUUGGGGUUGGCUAUAAAAUCCUGGAAAACUGCAGAACGUGAUGGUUUUAUGGAAAAGGAAUAAAAGCAGGGAAAGGAAUUAAGCAGGGAAAGGAAUGAACCAGGGAAAGGAAUAAAGCAGGAAAAAGGAAUAAAGCAGGAAAGGAAUAAAG